rnacentral:lncRNA from 1 species
GGGUGAAGUAUAUGAACAGACACUUCUCAAAAGAAGACAUUUAUGCAGCCAAUAGACACAUGAAAAAAUGCUCAUCAUCACUGGCCAUCGCAAAAACGUAAAUCAAAAUCACAAUGAGAUACCAUCUCACACCAGUUAGAAUGGCGAUCAUUAAAAAGUCAGGAAACAACAGGUACUGGAGAGGAUGUGGAGAAAUAGGAACACUUUUACACUGUUGGUGGGACUGUAAACUAGUUCAACCAUUGUGGAAGUCAGUGUGGCAAUUCCUCAAGGAUCUAGAACUAGAAAUACCAUUUGACCCAGCCAUCCCAUUACUGGGUAUAUACCCAAAGGAUUAUAAAUCAAGCUGCUAUAAAGACACAUGCACACGUAUGUUUAUUGCAGCACUAUUCACAAUAGCAAAG